rnacentral:rRNA from 1 species
UACGUAGGCAGCAAGCGUUGUUCGGAGUUACUGGGCGUAAAGCGUGCGCAGGCGGUUCGCUGUGUCCUGUGUGAAAGCCCCGGGCUUAACCUGGGAAUGGCAUGGGAAACUGGCGGGCUGGAGUGUGGCAGAGGGGGUGGAAUUCCGCGUGUAGCAGUGAAAUGCGUAGAGAUGCGGAGGAACACCGAUGGCGAAGGCAGCCCCCUGGGCUAACACUGACGCUCAGGCACGAAAGCGUGGGGAGCAAACAGG